rnacentral:rRNA from 1 species
AGUGGCAAACGGGUGAGUAACACGUAAACAACCUGCCUUCAGGAUGGGGACAACAGACGGAAACGACUGCUAAUACCGAAUACCUGAAGAGGGGUUUGCGUCUGAUUAGGUAGUUGGUGAGGUAACGGCCCACCAAGCCGACGAUCAGUAGCCGGUCUGAGAGGAUGAACGGCCACACUGGAACUGAGACACGGUCCAGACUCCUACGGGAGGCAGCAGUGGGGAAUCUUCCGCAAUGGGCGAAAGCCUGACGGAGCAACGCCGCGUGAGUGAUGACGGCCUUCGGGUUGUAAAGCUCUGUGAUCGGGGACGCGGUACCCGAAUAGCAAGCCACGGCUAACUACGUGCCAGCAGCCGCGGUAAUACGUAGGUGGCAAGCGUUGUCCGGAAUUAUUGGGCGUAAAGCGCGCGCAGGCGGUUCUUAAGUCCAUCUUAAAAGUGCGGGGCUUAACCCCGUGAUGGGAUGGAAACUGAGAGCUGGAGUAUCGGAGAGGAAAGUGGAAUUCCUAGUGUAGCGGUGAAAUGCGUAGAGAUUAGGAAGAACACCGGUGGCGAAGGCGACUUUCUGGACGACAACUGACGCUGAGGCGCGAAAGCGUGGGGAGCAAACAGGAUUAGAUACCC